rnacentral:rRNA from 1 species
GACGAACGCUGGCGGCGUGCUUAACACAUGCAAGUCGAACGGAAAGGCCCUGCUUUUGUGGGGUGCUCGAGUGGCGAACGGGUGAGUAACACGUGAGUAACCUGCCCUUGACUUUGGGAUAACUUCAGGAAACUGGGGCUAAUACCGGAUAGGAGCUCCUGCUGCAUGGUGGGGGUUGGAAAGUUUCGGCGGUUGGGGAUGGACUCGCGGCUUAUCAGCUUGUUGGUGGGGUAGUGGCUUACCAAGGCUUUGACGGGUAGCCGGCCUGAGAGGGUGACCGGCGACAUUGGGACUGAGAUACGGCCCAGACUGCUACGGGAGGCAGCAGUGGGGAAUUUUGCACAAUGGGCGGACGCCUGAUGCAGCAACGCCGCGUGCGGGAUGACGGCCUUCGGGUUGUAAGCCGCUUUCGCCGGUGACGAAGCGUGAGUGACGGUAAUGGGUAAAGAAGCACCGGCUGACUACGUG